rnacentral:rRNA from 1 species
AGCAGCCGCGGUAAUUCCAGCUCCAAUAGCGUAUACUAAAGUUGUUGCAGUUAAAAAGCUCGUAGUUGAACCUUGGGCCUGGCUGGCCGGUCCGCCUCACCGCGUGUACUGGUCCGGCCGGGCCUUUCCUUCUGGGGAGCCGCAUGCCCUUUACUGGGCGCGUCGGGGAACCAGGACUUUUACUGUGAAAAAAUUAGAGUGCUCAAAGCAGGCCUUUGCUCGAAUACAUUAGCAUGGAAUAAUAGAAUAGGACGUGUGGUUCUAUUUUGUUGGUUUCUAGGACCGCCGUAAUGAUUAAUAGGGACAGUCCGGGGGCAUCAGUAUUCAAUUGUCAGAGGUGAAAAUUCUUGGAUUUAUUGAAGACUAACUACUGCGAAAGCAU